AGAGGUCGCCAGUUCGAGUGAUGC
rnacentral:siRNA from 1 species